AGCAGCCGCGGUAAUUCCAGCUCCAAUAGCGUAUAUUAAAGUUGUUGCAGUUAAAAAGCUCGUAGUUGAAUUUCGGGGUCAGCAAGUUGGUCGUGCCACUGGUAUGCACUGGCCCUACUGGUUCCUCCUUCUUGAAGAACUGUAAUGCCAUUAAUUUGGUGUUGCAGGGAAACAGGACUGUUACUUUGAAAAAAUUAGAGUGUUUAAAGCAGGCAAUCGCUUGAAUACAUUAGCAUGGAAUAAUGAAAUAGGACGUUCGAUCCUAUUUUGUUGGUUUCUAGGAUUGACGUAAUGAUUAAUAGGGAUAGUUGGGGGCAUUAGUAUUCAAUUGUCAGAGGUGAAAUUCUUGGAUUUAUUGAAGACUAACUACUGCGAAAGCAUUUGCCAAGGAUGUUUUCAUUAAUCAAGAACGAAAGUUAGGGGAUCGAAGACGAUCAGAUACCGUCGUAGUCUUAACCAUAAACUAUGCCGACUAGGGAUCGGAUGAAGUUAAUUUUUUAAUGACUCA
rnacentral:rRNA from 1 species